rnacentral:rRNA from 1 species
CUUCGAAAAGAGUGUCUCUAUGCUAACAUGGAAAAAUGCCUUUUUGGCGUUGAUAAGAUCGUUUUCUUGGGUUUUGUUGUGUCCUCUAAGGGUGUUCAUGUUGAUGACUCUAAGAGCAAUGCUAUUAAAACUUGGCCACAACCAACCAACUUGCAAAAAGUGCGUAGCUUCCUUGAUUUAGCCGGUUUCUACUGUAGAUUUGUGAAGGACUUUAGCACCAUUGCUUCACCUUUGCAUGCUUUGAGCAAGAAAAAUGUGCCUUUUGUUUGGGGACCAUCCCAAGAUACCGCAUUCAAUGAGCUUAAGAAUUUGCUUACCCAUGCUCACGUGCUUGCAUUACCCAACUUUGACAAACCCUUUGAGAUUCAUUGCGAUGCUAGUGGUAAUGGCAUAGGAGGUGUGUUAACGCCAGAGAAGCGCCCCAUAGCUUACUUUAGUGAGAAACUUUCCGGAGCGCAACUUGAUACGUCU